rnacentral:rRNA from 1 species
AGAAUCAACGCUGGCGGCGUGCCUAACACAUGCAAGUCGCACGAGAAAGGGACUUCGGUCCUGAGUACAGUGGCGCACGGGUGAGUAACACGUGAAUAAUCUACCUUCGAGUGGGGAAUAACUGAGAGAAAUCUUAGCUAAUACCGCAUAACACUUACGAGUCAAAGCAGCAAUGCGCUUGAAGAGGAGUUCGCGGCAGAUUAGUUAGUUGGCGGGGUAAUGGCCCACCAAGACGAUGAUCUGUA